AUUAACACCAUGUCAUUUAGGGCGUUAAAAAGAAAGAUAGAAGAAAAGGGAAAAAGUAAUGGCGAAAAACGUGCCGAUUUUAGCUCAGGCGAACUUCCUACAACAAAAGGUUUUGCGGAUAUUCCUCUGGGUUUUCUAGAAGGGCCUAUUAAAUGUCGAGUGACUCAUAAAGUUACUUUCUUAACGCAUUCGAAUACUUGCCUUUAUAUAAUAAAUUUGAUUGACGGAAAUGGUGACGAAAUCCGUCUCAACGUAUGGGGCCCGGAGAAAACUGCAAAAUAAAUUUGAAGUAGGAAAAGUUCACCUAAUAAGAAAAGUUUCAGUUAUUACGAGCACUAACGAUUACUCCAGGAUCUUAAACAAAAGAACGUUAGUGUCAACACAGUCGACUACACACAGCAGCGGCUCCCUACUUAUUGUUUCCUACUUAAGAGGUGCCAGGGUCUCUUACAUGGCUUUGGAUACUUAAAUUCCGCCCAUACUUACACGAGAUUUCCUACUAAAAAAACCUGUUUCAUGUAAGAAUGUUGUAAGUAGUUAAGUAGGCUCAAUAAAGGGUCUAGCCUACUUAAAAUUCAUUCGCAUACUUUUUUUUCUAUAGGGCAGUUAUGUAAUCUUUAGUCAAAAAUUCAGCAAAUGACUUCUAUCAUAUCGAAAUUUGUUGUGGUUAUAAAGAUAUAUCCAUAAAUGGGGUUCAGAAAUGAAAAAAAUAUGUCGCACACCGUGGGAUUCGAACAUCAGACCUUCUGAGUCGUAAUCCGAUUCUUUACCACUGAGCUACACUCGAUGAUAUAUACGUUGCAAACAUAGCAUCAUAUACUAUAAAGGUCUGUUGGGUGAUAGAAAAAUUUUUGGAAAAAUGUUUAAGAAAUGGUAUCAUUUGAUUUUACGUGCUGAAAUUCUGUAAUCAAACACCACCGAUUGAUAAAAUUUUUGAAGUUCAUAGUUAUAAUUUGAAUAAAUUUAUACUAAUAUUAAUUUGAUUAAAUUAAAUAUCGUUUUCUUAGUUGAAAUAGAAAAAGAUAGAAAGAAUAAUGUUCAAUUAUCUACCGAAAAUCAUUACCUUUUCUAACAGUGCAACAUUAUAAACUUCCCGGUAUUCCUGUGAUGGAAUUUGAUGUGUUCAAAAAAAGUUGUUGGAUUUUCAAUUGACAGUUCAUGAGUAGUGUUUGAUCAUCAAAAUUCGUCAGAGUUACAAGAUACUUGCAAUUUUAACGACUUUGAUUUAGUCAACCUGCUUCACUGUGCAAGGUACUUAACUAAAGAACUUAAAUGGUAUAAAAAGUACUUAAAUUUGGGAAAACGAUACUUAAUUUUGGUACAGCUUUUAAAUGUAAGUAUUAAAAAUGGGUAAAGUAUGUUUCGCAAAACUUGGAUAAAGAUACUUAAAUUAAAACAUACUUAUUUCGAAUGUUUCAUACUUAAAAUGCCAUUUACCAUCUUAUUUAUAAGUGGGAUGGUAAGUGUAAGUAGCAUAACCACAUAUAAGUAUUUGCAAUUUACAGUAAGUGACUUGAAAACUCGUUCUAAGUAAGAAAAUUGCAAAUUUAGUAGAUUUCCGACCUACUUAAUCAAUCAGUAGGAAAUUUCCUACUGAAAUACUUACAUUAAAGUAUGUUACCGCUGCUGUGCAGUAAGUUUCUUUAAAAUAACACAUUGUAAAAUACAUUAAAAAUUUGACAACCUGCAGUUGAGUUUAGUGAAUGCUAAAGAAAACGAAGAAUUUCCUGACUUAGCUUACAAUUAUAUGUCUGUUAGCAGCAUUGGGGACAUUGCUGAUCGAGAAAUAAUUGAUGUGAUAGGGAUCUUCUACAAAAAAAAGAAGGUGAUACCACUGCAGUCCUAUACCAAAGAAGAGCAUAGUAUUAAAAUUUUGGACGACAAAGGCAGGAAGAUGGAAGUAGGGUGAUCAACAAUUGAACAAUUUCUGCAGAAUAUGAAAAUAGAAGAAUUGAAGACUAUUCUAGGACUCAAAGGAGUGCGACUAGUUAGGAAGGGAGAAAAACUAGAAUGUGUCACAUUUUCUGACACAAUUAUAGAUAUCGAUCCGGCAUCCAAGCACAAUGAAGAACUAAAAAAAUGGAUGGGUGCUGAAAGUUCAGAAGGAGAAACUGCUGAAGCCACUAAAUAAAUAAUGUUUUCUAUUACAAUUGACUCGGCAACUUUCUCAAAAUCAAAAUGACUAAUAAAUGUGAUUGAAGUGAA
rnacentral:lncRNA from 1 species